rnacentral:misc_RNA from 1 species
AACGCACAUUGCGCCUCUCUUUACCGGGAGGCAUGCCUGUUUGAGCGUCAUUUAAACCAAUAAACAAACAUUUGUUUACAUUUGUUUGUUUGUUUUGGGUUUCACCUUUAGGCGUUACCUUAAAAUGAUGGGUCUAAAUUAGCGGACGAGAUCUUUCAAAGACUAACCGUGAAUCAGACCAUAUAAAUCUCUUGAUUUUGACCUCAAAUCAGGUAGGGAUACCGCCUGAACUUAA